rnacentral:rRNA from 1 species
CGUGUAGGCGGCCAGGUAGGUCUGCUGUGAAAACUCGAGGCUUAACCUCGAGAUGUCGGCGGAAACCAUCUGGCUAGAGUCCGGAAGAGGAGAGUGGAAUUCCUGGUGUAGCGGUGAAAUGCGCAGAUAUCAGGAAGAACACCCGUGGCGAAGGCGGCUCUCUGGGACGGUACUGACGCCGAGACGCGAAAGCGUGGGGAGCGAACA